CUGCUGCCUCCCGUAGGAGUCUGGGCCGUGUCUCAGUCCCAAUGUGGCCGUCCACCCUCUCAGGCCGGCUACUGAUCGUCGCCUUGGUGGGCCUUUACCCCGCCAACCAGCUAAUCAGACGCGGGUCCAUCUUGCACCACCGGAGUUUUUCACACUGUCCCAUGCAGGACCGUGCGCUUAUGCGGUAUUAGCACCUAUUUCUAAGUGUUAUCCCCCAGUGCAAGGCAGGUUACCCACGCGUUACUCACCCGUCCG
rnacentral:rRNA from 1 species